UACGUAGGGUGCGAGCGUUGUCCGGAAUUAUUGGGCGUAAAGAGCUCGUAGGCGGUGUGUCACGUCGGCCGUGAAAACCUGCAGCUUAACUGUGGGCGUGCGGUCGAUACGGGCAUCUCUGGAGUUCGGCAGGGGAGACUGGAAUUCCUGGUGUAGCGGUGAAAUGCGCAGAUAUCAGGAGGAACACCGGUGGCGAAGGCGGGUCUCUGGGCCGAUACUGACGCUGAGGAGCGAAAGCGUGGGGAGCAAACAGG
rnacentral:rRNA from 1 species